UGAAGCGGCUCUGUUGUAAAGGCCAACGGUGCUCGGUUAGCACAAUGACAUCAAAUUCAGAUAACUCUUAUU